GGAAACUGGAUGUUCUCCUAAAACAGCCACCUAGCCAAGCUGAACCAACAGAGAUGUAUUGAUCACCGGGUCAAUGGAACUAGGUGGGUGCUGGGGGGAAAGUCAGCAGGUAAGUCAGGUGAGGACUGCCUCCCUUCCACUCCCCACCCAGAGACUGAAGACAGACAGACAGACAGAGGCGUUCAUUCAGAAAGAAGUAGGAGGGCUUCAGGGAUUCAGCGGAGGAGACUGAAAGCCUGAGAGACGAUGCCUCUGAGAAGGUUACAGACCUUGGGAGAAAGCGCUUUCACCUCCUCACCACAGACACUCUCGACUGUGGACUCAGGACACUAAGCCAGAAAGGUGACGAUUUCCUUCUUGAACCCGGCCUGCAUCAGCAGCUCAGACCCAGGGCUCCGGGUCCUUUGCUCUAUGUCCAGUGCUCUUUUUGCUCCCUCACACACUUAGCGAUGGCAGUGUUCUUAGUAUACUCAAAGAGCUUUGUAAUGAAUUAGAGCAGCCAUUCCCAACCUUCCUAGUGCUGCGGUCCUUUAAUACAGUUUCUUAAGUUGUGGCGAACCAUCCCCCCCACCCCCAACCAUAACAUUAUUCUUGCUGCUGCUGUUAUGAAUCGUAAUGAAACAUUUGAUCUGCAGUACAUCUGAUAUGUGAUUCCCGAGAAAGGGCCAUCAUAUUCCAAGGGAUCGGGACCCACAGCGUGAGAAGCCCUGAACUAGAGAUCCGCCUAAACUGAGAAACAACCUAGCACCUAUCCCAGCCCAUCAAUGUUGUAUAUGGCAACAGAUUCAAAAGCCCAGACUAAAACAUACUCACCAUCCAUGUUACCAGCUCUCACCAUGGGGCAGCAAUGUGGAUUUAGUAAGCAUAGCCCACGGGCACUCAUUUUGAAGACACUAGGAGAACUUCAAAGCCAGGUUUGUUCUUCUGCCUCUGGUGACAUUUUUAAAAUUUCAGCACUGUUUUUUUUUUUAAUUGAUUCUUUGUGAAUUUCAUAUCAUGCACCUCAGUCCUGCACAUCUCCUGUCCCCUCCCUCCCUCCAACCUCCACCCUUCCCCAACAAAGAAAAAUAAGUCCCCACUAUGGAAGCUGUAGUGUGCCAUCGUGUGUCCUUUUGUCCACACUUCUUUGCUUGCAAGUGCUCAUUGCAUUGACUUUGUUGGUCUGGUACGAGUCAGGCCUCUGGCUUCUGCUAUGCUAACGAUGCUAGAACCUUACUGAGACUCCUCUAGGGUAGACUGUUGUCACCCCGUGUGUCAUGGAGACCCUGUAGUUUUGGAUCUGCAGGACUGGCUUCUUCACGUACUCCAGCAGUUCAUUGAUGGGAUAGACGUGGGGUGGGCUAACUCAAAGCCCUGGAUCUGGGCCUGAGAGGUGUCUGAGCUGCUCAGCCCACCAGCUCUCCAGUUCUUGUGGCCUUUGGAUUGGCUCGCCAGCAACCCCCUCUCCCAGGGCUAGCUCUCCUGGCUGACCAGGAACCUGACAAGACUGACUAGCCAUCUCUAGCAUUCAGAUAGGUGGAACUUCAUUGUGCUGAAGUUAUGUUUGAGCACCCUCUGCUGGACAAAUCAGAUGCUCUAUGACUACCAACAAUGUACCAGUGGUAUUCGUCUCUUGCAGAUCUGGAAGAAAAUGAAAUUUAGAUGUGAGCGAGCAGUCUCCUUCCUGCUGCUGCAGCUGCAAGCUGCUCCUGCCGCCCAUGCCUUCUCUACUGCCAUGCCUUCCCUACCACAAGGGCCAGAACUCUCACACUGAAAGCCAGAAUAAAUCCUUCCUCUCUUCGGUUGGUUGUUGUCAGGAGAAGGCAGCAGCUGGCAUCAAUGGUGUGGUGAGGAGAGAAUCAAGUUUCCUUCUCCAGUUCAAACAGACGAAAGUGAAGCGACAUAGGCUCAAGGACAGGGUCACUGGGCUAGCGCCACACCAUGGAGCCAAACCCCGAGCCUUCUAAAUUGUGAGCUGGGCAUGGUGGUUCACCCCAGGAAUCGCAGCACUGAGGGAUGAAGGCGAGAGAGUCACUGUGGGUGUGACAUCAGUCUGGCCUGAAGUCUGAGACUGUUUUUUUAAAAAGAAAACAUUUUUUUAUGUCAUAUAUUUAAUUAUAUAAAGAUUCUGUUGUUUUGUUGUUGUUGUUGUUAAAAUUCAGCCAGGAAAUUUCCAUCUGUCUGGUGUUAAUUGGUUGUUUUUCAGCACUAAUUGGGAAAUGAUAUAUUUUUAUUGUUUUAUAAAUAGAGUAAAACCCCUCAGAAACUGCUGGGGAAAUUUAAACAAGGAAAGCAAUUCUAUGUCCUUGCUUGACACCAGUUUGUCCCAGAGGUGACACAACUGUGUAGUUUUUGAAAACACUGGGCAUUUAUAUAUAUAUGAGACAAAACCCCACUGUAUAGCCCUGGCUAACUCGAAACUCACUAUGUAAAUCAGGCUGGGCUUUGACACACAGAGCUCUGCCUUUGCCUACUCAGUGUUGGGAUUUAACACCCACACCACCAUAGCCAGCCUUCUCUCCAAGGGGCAAAUUUCUUUCUGAAGCAACUUCCUCAUUUAUUAACAGUAUUGCUUCCAGACCCCGUGUGUGUGUGUGUGUGUGUGUGUGUGUGUGUGUGUGUGUGUACAGAUAUGUGUUUGCAAGUAUUUAGACACAAGUUGAUGCAGACUACACCAGUUUCAUGAAAUUGUUCCCAUGUCAGUGGCUAGUCUGAGCCUUUUGUACUUGUAAACAGCUGGCUGUAAACUGGGGAUUCCCAUACUCUCCUCUUCAGCCCCAUAAUUAUCAUGGUGAUUUGCAACCUGUAGGUAAUGACCCGUUUGGCUCAUAUAUCAGAUAUUCUGCAUGUCAGAUAUUUAUAUUUUGAUUCAUAACAAUAGUAAAAUUAUAGUUAUGAAGUAGUAAUGUAAAUAGUUACACUGUGGGGGUCACCACAACACGAGGAACUGUGUUAAAUGGCUUCAGCAAUAGGAAGGUUGAGAGCCACUGAUUUAUUAGGUCAUUUCAUGGAUCGUGGGGAUGCUUUCUACUUUCAUCUAUUGUUUAUUACAAAAGAUGUAGACAGACAGAUAGAUAGACAGACUCACAGAUAAAUAGAAAAAUAGAUGACAGAAAGAUAGAAAGUUAGGUAAAAAGAUAAAAAGAUAGGUAGAUGCUAGAAAGAUAGAUAGACUCAAAGACAAAUAGAAAGAUAGAUAAUAGAGAAAGGUGGAAAGAAAAAUAGAUAGAUGAUGGAAAGAUAGGUAGAUAGACUGACAGAAUGA
rnacentral:lncRNA from 1 species